rnacentral:rRNA from 1 species
UACGUAGGGGGCAAGCGUUGUCCGGAUUUAUUGGGCGUAAAGAGCGUGUAGGCGGCUUGGGAAGGUCAGCUGUGAAAACUCGAGGCUCAACCUCGAGACGUCGGUUGAAACCACCUGGCUAGAGUCCGGAAGAGGAGAGUGGAAUUCCCGGUGUAGCGGUGAAAUGCGCAGAUAUCGGGAAGAACACCCGUGGCGAAGGCGGCUCUCUGGGACGGUACUGACGCUGAGGCGCGAAAGCGUGGGGAGCAAACGGG